rnacentral:rRNA from 1 species
UGUAGUCAUAUGCUUGUCUCAAAGAUUAAGCCAUGCAUGUCUAAGUACAUACCUUUGCACGGUGAAACCGCGAAUGGCUCAUUAAAUCAGUUAUGGUUCCUUAGAUCGUUCUUUUUACAUGGAUAACUGUGGUAAUUCUAGAGCUAAUACAUGCAAAAAGCUCCGACCGUAUGGGAAGAGCGCUUUUAUUAGACCAAAACCAAUGGGAUCGCAAGAUUCCUUUGUCUGGUGACUCUGGAUAACUUUGUGCUGAUCGCAUGGCCUUGAGCCGGCGACGUAUCUUUCAAGUGUCUGCCCUAUCAACUUUCGAUGGUAAGCGAUUUGCCUACCAUGGUUGUAACGGGUAACGGGGA